UUCUGUGAAGCCGGCCUGUGAGGGAUCCGGUGGAGAGAUCACUAGUGAGAAUGAUGACAUGAGUAGCGACAAAGGGAGUGAGAGACUCCCUCGCCGAAAGUCCAAGGGUUCCUGCUUAAAGCUAAUCUGAGCAGGGUAAGCCGACCCCUAAGGCGAGGCCGAAAGGCGUAGUCGAUGGGAACCAGGUUAAUAUUCCUGGGCCAGGAGGAUGUGACGGAUCUCGAAGGUUGUUUCCCCUUAUCGGAUUGGGGAGGCCGCUUAGAGGUUCCUGGAAAUAGCCCUCCGCUAGAUCGUACCCUAAACCGACACAGGUGGACUGGUAGAGAA
rnacentral:rRNA from 1 species